UACGUAGGGUGCAAGCGUUGUCCGGAAUUAUUGGGCGUAAAGAGCUCGUAGGCGGUCUGUCGCGUCUGCUGUGAAAACUCAGGGCUUAACCCUGAGCCUGCUUCCGAUACGGGCAGACUAGAGGUAUGCAGGGGAGAACGGAAUUCCCGGUGUAGUGGUGAAAUGCGUAGAUAUCGGGAGGAACACCAGUGGCGAAGGCGACUUCCUGGCCUGUUCUUGACGCUGAGGCGCGAAAGCUAGGGUAGCAAACGGG
rnacentral:rRNA from 1 species